CCAGUGCCUGAGAACACUGGUAUGGAGGGGGAGAACGCACCUCUUUACUGUAUUUGUCGGAAACCAGACAUCAACUGCUCCAUGAUACUUUGCCAUGAUAAAUUGGUCAGUUGACAACCAGGAGCCGUACACCUUAACCUCAGAGGCCAGGACAUCCAGGGGCAGUGUGAACACGCACUUGCUUAAAUGGGACGCAAGACGGACUAUAGAGGGCCACCCGCUUGCCAGACAACCAAGUGCUGUCCCUGUCCACGGCCAGUGUGAGAAGGACUCUCACUAAAGUCAACCCACACAAAGCUGCUGGACCAGACAAUAUACCUGGACGCGUGCUCGGAGCCCGUGCUGACCAGCUGACUGAUGUCCUAGCGGGCAUCUUUAACAUCUCCUGAGUCAAGCUGUUGUGCCACAGUGCUUUAAAACCACCACCAUCAUACCUGUCCCCAGACCUUCCCAAAGCCUAAUUCCACAAUGAUUGCCUGAGCCUAUUCUUGUUAAAUGAUGAAAAACUCAAAGGCACGUUUGGGCAGUGGAUCUGUGUGAAAUCAGCAGCUUGCAAAACGAAAUCAAAAUGUGUGCUAUUGAUUCUAAAAAUAGAAAUCACAAUAAAGUUCAACAUUUACUAAAACCGCCA